rnacentral:rRNA from 1 species
AUGAUGUAUAGCCCAGCAUUGAUGUGUAUGAGCAAGUCAAUCUGUCCGAGUGCUAUAGCAUCAUGGGAGCCUCCACCAGAAAUUGUGUCAAGAUGGCUCUCCGAUUGCCCCGGGCCGCUAGGGGCUGAGCUUGCUGCAUGUGAAGAGGGACUUAAGUUGGCACUACACUCAUCACAAAAACCAAUACUGGUGGAGACUGAUUGCGCUGAAAUCUUGUCCUUAGUGAAUGCAGGGUCACUUGAUCAUUCGAGGAACAUGUACCAGGUGGCUAUAAUAGCAGAACUGUUGAAGAAGAGGCAAGCUAAAAUUAGGAAAAUCAAGAGAACAAAGAACCAGACCGGGUAG